CCAAUAGCGUAUAUUAAAGUUGUUGCAGUUAAAAAGCUCGUAGUUGAAUUUUAGGCCUGGCCAGGCGGUCCGUCUUUGGCGAGUACUGUCUUGUUGUCGGGUCUUCCUUCUGGUGAACCAGUAUGUCCUUUAUUGGGUGUGUUGGGGAGCCAGGACCAUUACCUUGAAAAAAUUAGAGUGUUUAAAGCGGGCUAUUGCUUGAAUAGAUUAGCAUGGAAUAAUAGAAUAGGACGUUGUGGUUCUAUUUUGUUGGUUUCUAGGAACACCGUAAUGAUUAAUAGGGAUAGUUGGGGGCAUUAGUAUUCAAUUGUCAGAGGUGAAAUUCUUGGAUUUAUUGAAGACUAACUAGUGCGAAAGCAUUUGCCAAGGAUGUUUUCAUUAAUCAAGAACGAAAGUUAGGGGAUCGAAGACGAUCAGAUACCGUCGUAGUCUUAACCAUAAACUAUGCCGACUAGGAAUCGGGCGACGUUAUUUUAAUGACUCGCUCGGCGCCUUAUG
rnacentral:misc_RNA from 1 species